rnacentral:rRNA from 1 species
GAUGAACGCUGGCGGCGUGCCUAAUACAUGCAAGUCGAGCGAACAGACGAGGAGCUUGCUCCUUUGACGUUAGCGGCGGACGGGUGAGUAACACGUGGGUCACCUACCUAUAAGACUGGGCUAACUUCGGGAAACCGGAGCUAAUACCGGAUAAUAUUUCGAACCGCAUGGUUCGAUAGUGAAAGAUGGCUCUGCUAUUACUUAUUGAUGGACCUGCGCCGUAUUAGCUAGUUGGUAGGGUAACGGCUUACCAAGGCAACGGUAGGUAGCCGACCUGAGAGGGUGAUCGGCCACACUGGAACUGAGACACGGUCCAGACUCCUACGGGAGGCAGCAGUAGGGAAUCUGCCGCAAUGGGCGAAAGCCUGACGGAGCAGCGCCGCGUGAGUGAUGAAGGUCUUCGGAUCGUAAAACUCUGUUAUUAGGGAAGAACAAACGUGUAAGUAACUGUGCACGUCUUGACGGUACCUAAUCAGAAAGCCACGGCUAACUACGUG